rnacentral:rRNA from 1 species
CAGUCGCCACGGUAAUACGAAGGGUGCAAGCGUUAAUCGGAAUUACUGGGCGUAAAGCGUGCGUAGGCGGUUUGUUAAGUCUGCUGUGAAAUCCCCGGGCUCAACCUGGGAAUGGCAGUGGAUACUGGCAAGCUAGAGUGUGUCAGAGGAUGGUGGAAUUCCCGGUGUAGCGGUGAAAUGCGUAGAGAUCGGGAGGAACAUCAGUGGCGAAGGCGGCCAUCUGGGACAACACUGACGCUGAGGCACGAAAGCGUGGGGAGCAAACAGGAUUAGAUACCCCCGUAGUCCCUGUCUCUUAUAC